GUUUUUAAAUGUAGAAGUUCAGAGUUACUCCUUUGCCAGUGCCAGGGGCAUUGACGGAUGCUGUCUGGAGUUGCAAUGUUACACAUUCUUAAUUUUAACUGUGUGCGUUGUGUGUGUGUGUGUGUGUGUGUGUGUGUGUGUGCGCGAGUGAGUGUGUGUUGGCUGGUUUCACUAAAACAGUAUGAAUGGUAACUUUAUCUGUGAGUUGAAAUGCUUAGAAAUAUAAACUAGAUGAGAAUACAUCCAUCUUUUGUAUAUGAAAAUAAAGACAAAUCCUGAUUAACCAUA